rnacentral:rRNA from 1 species
GACGAACGCUGGCGGCGUGCUUAACACAUGCAAGUCGAACGAAGAGCGAUGGAAGCUUGCUUCUAUCAAUCUUAGUGGCGAACGGGUGAGUAACGCGUAAUCAACCUGCCCUUCAGAGGGGGACAACAGUUGGAAACGACUGCUAAUACCGCAUACGAUCUCUUCACGGCAUCGAGGCGAGAUGUAAGGUGGCCUCUGCAGGUCUGCCGUCACUGCAGGAGGGGAGUGCGGCUGUUGGGCUAGUUGGAGGGGAAGGGUCCCCGCAAGGCGAGGGUCAGUGGCCGGGCUGAGAGGAUGGACGGCCACCUUGGGACUGAGACACGGCCCAGACUCCUACGGGAGGCAGCAGUGGGGAAUCGUCCGCAAUGGACGAAAGUCUGACGGAGCAACGCCGCGUGAGUGAUGACGGCCUUCGGGUUGUAAAGCUCUGUUAAUCGGGACGAAAGGCCUUCUUGCGAAUAGUGAGAAGGAUUGACGGUACCGGAAUAGAAAGCCACGGCUAACUACGUG